AACGAACGCUGGCGGCAGGCUUAACACAUGCAAGUCGAGCGCCCCGCAAGGGGAGCGGCAGACGGGUGAGUAACGCGUGGGAAUCUACCGUGCCCUACGGAAUAGCUCCGGGAAACUGGAAUUAAUACCGUAUACGCCCUUCGGGGGAAAGAUUUAUCGGGGUAUGAUGGGCCCGCGUUGGUUUAGCUAGUUGGUGGGGUAAAGGCCUACCAAGGCGACGAUCCAUAGCUGGUCUGAGAGGUUGAUCAGCCACAUUGGGACUGGGACACGGCCCAAACUCCUACGGGGGGCGGCAGUGGGGAAUAUUGGACAAUGGGCGCAAGGCUGAUCCAGCCAUGCCGCGUGAGUGAUAAAGGCCAUAGGGUUGUAAAGCUCUUUCACCGGUGAAGAUAAUGACGGUAACCGGAGAAGAAGCCCCGGUUAACUUCGUGCCAGCCGCCGCCGUAAAAC
rnacentral:rRNA from 1 species